UACGUAGGGUGCGAGCGUUGUCCGGAAUUACUGGGCGUAAAGAGCUCGUAGGUGGUUUGUCGCGUUGUUCGUGAAAACUCACAGCUCAACUGUGGGCGUGCGGGCGAUACGGGCAGACUUGAGUACUGCAGGGGAGACUGGAAUUCCUGGUGUAGCGGUGGAAUGCGCAGAUAUCAGGAGGAACACCGGUGGCGAAGGCGGGUCUCUGGGCAGUAACUGACGCUGGAGGAGCGAAAGCCGUGGGGAGCGAACAGG
rnacentral:rRNA from 1 species